rnacentral:snRNA from 1 species
GAAUGUGAGGGUGAACUGGAUCUGGCUGCCCAGCCGAAUGUCCCCUUCUCCUUCACCCCUCCAUGUUCAUCGCUCCCCAAGCUGUGAAGCUGUGGUCCAAGAGAGCGACUACCCCUGAUAGGUAGAGGAGGACUGUUUCUUGGUUAGGAGUAUACCCCCUGAUAGAACCUCCAAAAGAGCUCUCAAAAUACUUUGAAAUCUCCAGCCUCAAAUGCUUGCAGUUGAGGAAAGAACCUUGGCUGAAGGUUGAAUUCC